UCCCUGGUCAUCCACUGGUUAGGACUUGGCCCUCUUACUGCCAAAGGCCUGGGUUCAAUCCCCUGUCAGAGAA
rnacentral:tRNA from 1 species